AGUAGUCAGUUAGUUUUCAGUUAGAGGGCAGCUCUGCAGUUCUAAAUGUCAGUUAGUAGUCAGUUAGAAGUCAGUUAGAGGGCAGUUCUAAAGGCCAGUUCUGCAGUCAAUAUGCAGUUUAAAGGCAGUUCUGAAGACAGUUAGUCAUCAGAAGGGAAUUGAUUCGGUUCCAUGAAUUAUGAACCUCCUGCUUCUGUUUCUAAUGCUACUGUUGUUCCAGCCAACCUCUGGGAAGCUUAGAGUGAAAUGUCCACUGACUCUGGAACACCAAGAUGGAGAAAAACCAUGGAGCUAUUACAGACCAGGAGACCAUCUCAUUAGUAUAGUCAUCACUGCAACAAAAAUAUCUCCUAUAAUGUUCUCUUUCAAUGCAGCUCCUUCCAGUCAAUCUCACUCGUAAGUCAUUCAGGAUAACGGAGUUGCAUUCCCUCUAUUUAUAAUUCCUUCAUUUUGUUCUCCUUAUUAAACUUGUUCUUUAUACUGCAA